rnacentral:tRNA from 1 species
UAGAUAAAUGCUCGCUGGUUAGAGCGCUUAGCUGUUAACUAAGAGUUUACAGGAUCGAGGCCUGUUUAUCUAG